GAGACGUGGGGGAACCUGACCGCAAUGCCGCGUGAGUGAAGAAGGCCUUCGGGUUGUAAAGCUCUUUUGUCAGGGAAGAAACACCGGCUCUAACACAGUCCGGGAAUGACGGUACCUGAAGAAUAAGCACCGGCUAACUACGUGCCAGCAGCCGCGGUAAUACGUAGGGUGCGAGCGUUAAUCGGAAUUACUGGGCGUAAAGCGUGCGCAGGCGGUUAUACAAGACAGGCGUGAAAUCCCCGGGCUUAACCUGGGAAUGGCGCCUGUGACUGUAUAGCUAGAGUGUGUCAGAGGGGGGUAGAAUUCCACGUGUAGCAGUGAAAUGCGUAGAUAUGUGGAGGAAUACCAAUGGCGAAGGCAGCCCCCUGGGAUAACACUGACGCUCAUGCACGAAA
rnacentral:rRNA from 1 species